rnacentral:rRNA from 1 species
UAUACAAUGGAGAGUUUGAUCCUGGCUCAGGAUGAACGCUAGCGGCAGGCCUAAUACAUGCAAGUCGAGGGGUAGAGGAGAGCUUGCUUUCCUUGAGACCGGCGCACGGGUGCGUAACGCGUAUGCAAUCUACCUUCAACUGGUGAAUAGCCCGAAGAAAUUCGGAUUAAUACACCAUAGUAUAAUUGAGUGGCAUCACUUAAUUAUUAAAACUCCGGUGGUUGAAGAUGAGCAUGCGUGACAUUAGCUAGUUGGUGAGGUAAUGGCUCACCAAGGGGACGACGGGUAGCCGGCCUGAGAGGGCGAUCGGCCACA